rnacentral:misc_RNA from 1 species
AUCUUCAACAGGGCUUGCCAGGUAACUUUUGCGAUAAUUCAUUGAUCAUUUUCUUGCGUAAUGAUAAUUAAGAAGUUGCUGACUAUAUUCUCUAACCAGUCAAAUCUAGUUUUAAGAGAGAUUGUGCUUGUGUAUUCAACUCCUGAUGCUGGUGACAUGGGCUUAAGGUGCAAAUCAGAUGUUCACAGUAAAUACAUUUGAUUUUUUGGGAACACAAUCAUGACCUUAUAUAUUUUUGUAACUACUAUCAAAAUUAUCAUAUUCGUAUAUCAACUACAAUAUGGAAUCAUUUAAUUUCCCUUUAUAACCAAAUGCCUUAUCGAUUGGAUCAUUACUGUGUGAUUAAAACUUUGGGGCUGUUGCUUGA